rnacentral:rRNA from 1 species
AACGAACGCUGGCGGCAUGCCUAACACAUGCAAGUCGAACGAGAGCUUCGGGUCUAGUGGCGCACGGGUGCGUAACGCGUGGGAACCUGCACUUAGGUUCGGAAUAACUCUCCGAAAGGGGUGAUAAUACCGGAAAAUGUCUUCGGACAAAAGAUAUCUCGUCUUUGGAGGGGCACGCGUUGGAUUAGCUAGUUGCGAGGGUAAGAGCCUACCAAGGGGACGAUCCAUAGCUGGUCUGAGAGGAUGAUCAGCCACACUGAGACUGAGACACGGGCCAGACUCCUACGGGAGGCAGCAGUGGGGAAUAUAGGACAAUGGGCGAAAGCCUGAUCCAGCUAUGCCGCGUGAGUGAUGAAGUCCUUAGAGUUGUAAAGCUCGUUUACCCGGGAUUAUAAUGACAGUACCGGGAGAAUAAGCACCGGCUAACUCCGUG